rnacentral:rRNA from 1 species
GACGAACGCUGGCGGCGUGCUUAACACAUGCAAGUCGAACGAAGUGGCGAACGGGUGAGUAACGCGUAAUCAACCUGCCCUUCAGAGGGGGACAACAUUUGGAAACGACUGCUAAUACCGCUUACUGAAGUAGUGGAUUGCUUCUGAUUAGCUCGUUGGAGGGGUAACGGCCCACCAAGGCGAUGAUCAGUAGCCGGUCUGAGAGGAUGAACGGCCACAUUUGGACUGAGAAACGGCCCAGAAUCCUACGGGAGGCAGCAGUGGGGAAUCUUCCGCAAUGGAGGAAAGUCUGAAGGAGCAACGCCGCGUGAGUGAUGACGGCCUUCGGGUUGUAAAGCUAUGUUAAUCGGGACGCGGUACCGGAAUAGAAAGCCACGGCUAACUACGUGCCAGCCGCCGCGGUAAUAC